GCCCUCGUAGCUCAGGGGAUAGAGCAGCGGUUUCCUAAACCGCGUGCCGGGUGUUCGAGUCACCCCGAGGGCACCC
rnacentral:tRNA from 1 species